rnacentral:lncRNA from 1 species
UUUUUUUUUUUUUUUUUUUUUUUUUGGGUUCGAAAACGAGAGAUCAUUUGGUAUUCAUGUGUUGUUGGGUACGUACAAUUUUUAUGUUUCCUGGUACGUUUUUUUGUUCAUGGGUUCACUGUCUUUGUAUGUACCCAUAAUAAAUUUAUUGGGGUACAUUAUUUCCCUUAAUACUACUUGAUAAAAUUUGCAGAAAUAUUAAUGUUAUCAUGUACAUCGAAUAUUAAUGUUAUCUUGUACAACGAAUAUUAAUGUUAUCGUGGAAGAUUAUGUGUUGUCGUGCUUUUGAACACCCAUACCUGCUUCUCCUCGGCACUUGAUAGCGGGGUCUUUACGACCACCUUUACAACAGUAACCGUAAGCCUUCUUUGCUAAAGCCAAAAUUCCACCAUUUCUUACUCAAAGGAAUUCUCUUGCCAAAAAAGGCCAGUUGCUCUUCUAGUAAAUCAUAGGUCGUCCAUUCAGAUAUUACUUUGAUUAUCAUGAACCUCCAAAUAUCACCAGCUGUCCCAUAAUUUCAGAUUUUAUGGAUUCCACUUUAAAUUGAUUAGUUGAGAGUUUGGUCGUUAUACUAAUAUUCAAAAAUAAAAUAUAAAUUUUAAUAAGAGUAACAUUUUAAGGGAUUAAAUGGAAUAUGUGAUUUAACAUUAGGUUUUUUUUUUUUUUUUUAAAUUCUAAUCUUUUGCAAGGACUAAUAUUAAAAAAUUUCUUUUCCUUUUCAACUAAGGUUCAAUAUCAAUUCUAAUUCUUUUAUUGACAUUUCUUUAAAACACAAAAUAUUGAUGGACUCAGUUCUAAUUAUGAAUAUAUUAUCUGAGCUAAAAACAAAUUAACCCUGUUGGUUGUUGGGCAGAUUUCAAAAUCUAUUAAAACAUUGAUUAUAGUUAUAGAUCUCCAAACCUCAAAAAGGUUGGUUAGAUUUUAUGGAUUCCACUUUAAAUUGAUUAGUUGAGAGCUUGGUCGUUACUAGUCACGGCAAACAUGAAUUAUAAGACACUACGGGCACGUUUGUUUGACAGGAUUCGCUGGGACUGGACUGGACUAGACUAUAGUCCAGUGUUUGGUGGGCACCGGGAUUAGCUUUAAUGAGCUUAGGUGGGAUUCGCUAGGACUAAGGGGGGGCUUAGCCGUUCUUCACGAGGGAUCUCAAUUUGGGGCGGACUCGUAAGCCAGAGAAACCGCGUCUUCCCACAUCUCACAUCCCACAUCGUCCUCAUCUCUGCGUCUACCCUCGUCGUCGUCCUUGCCGUGCUCCGACAUCGUCCUCACGCUCAUCGUCGUCCUUGCAUCUGGUCGCUGUCAUCUGCCUCAAGUUGGUAAGCUUCGAAUCUUGGAUUUUUUUCGUCGAUUUGUGUGGAUUUGUUUGUGAUAUUAACUGAGGUUUAUUUGAUUUUGUUGUUUUGGGUUUGAGAAAUUCAUAAUAUACAAGUGGAUUUGCAAUUGAACAAAUUAGGGUUUUGAUAUUUAGGUGAAAUUGAGAUUAGAAUUUGGGGUUUUCAUAAGAUGAAAUUGAGAUUAGUCUCAGGUGUGUGCUCUCUGUGUGUGUGUGUUUGUGUGUACCGUGUGUAAUUUGUCUGUGUGUUUGUGUGUGUGUGCGUGUGUUUGUGUGUGUGUGUGUGUAAUCUGUGUGUAACCUGUGUAAUAUCUGUGUGUGUGUGUGAGUUGUGUGUGUAAAAUGUGUGUGUAAUCUAUCCGUGUGUGUGUGUGUAACUUGUGUUAUUUGCAGUGUGUGUGUGUGUGUGUGAGUUGUGUGUGUAACCUGUGUGUGAGUUGUGUGUGUAAAAUGUGUGUGUGUGCUGUGUGUGUGUAUGUAUGCAGUGUGUGUGUGUGUGUGUGUAUGUAUGCAGUAUGUAUGCAGUGUGUGUAUGUAUGCAGUGUGUGUGUGUGUGAGUAUGUAUGCAGUGUGUGUGAGUGUGUAUGCAGUGUGUGUGUGUGUGUGUGUGUGUGUGUGUAUGUAUGCAGUAUGUAUGCAGUGUGUGUGUGUGUGUGUAUGCAGUGUGUGUGUGUGUGUAUGUAUGCAGUGUGUGUGUGUGUGUGCAGUGUGUGUGUGUGUGUGUGUGUGUGUGUGCAGUGUGUGUGUGAGUGUGUAUGCAGUGUGUGUGUGAGUGUGUAUGCAGUGUGUGUGUGUGUGUGUGUGUUGUGUUAUGUAUGCAGUAUGUGUGUGUGUGUAUGUGCAGUGUGUGUGCAGUGUGUGCAGUGUGUGUGUGUGUGUGUGUGUGUGUAUGUAUGCAGUGUGUGUGUGUGUGUGUGCAGUGUGUGUGUGUGUGUGCAGUGUGUAUGUAUGCAGUAUGCAGUGCAUAUGCAUGUGUGUGUGUGUAUGUAUGCAGUGUGUGUGUGUGUGUGCAGUGUGUGUGUGAGUGUGUAUGCAGUGUGUGUGUGUGUAUGUAUGCAGUAUGUAUGCAGUGUGUGUGUGUGUGUGUGUGUGUGCAAUGUGUGUGUGUGUGUGCAGUGUGUGUGUGUGUGUGUGCAGUGUGUGUGUGUGUAUGCAGUGUGUGUGUGUUAGUGUGUUGCAUUCUGUCCCCGUGUGUGUGUGUGUGUGACUGUGUUUGUGGGUGAGUGUGAGUGUGUGUGAGUGUGAGUGUGUGUGCAGUGUGUGUGUAUGCAGUGUGUGUGUGUGUGUGUAUGCAGUAUGUGUGCAGUGUGUGUGUAUGUGUGCAGUGUGUGUGUAUGUGUGAGUGUGAGUGAGUGUGAGUGUGAGUGUGAGUGAGUGUGAGUGUGAGUCUAAGUGUGAGUGUGAGUGUGUGUGCAGUGUGUAUGUAUGCAGUGAGUGUGUGUGUGUGUGUGUGUGAGUAUAAAAACAGAGUAUAAAAACACAGUAUGUAUGCAGUGUGUGUGUAUGUAUGCAGUGUGUGUGUGUGUAUGUAUGCAGUGUGUGUGUGUGUGUGUGCAGUGUGUGUGUGUGUGUGCAGUGUGUGUGUGAGUGUGUAUGCAGUGUGUGUGUGCGCGCAGUGUGUGUGUGUGUGUGCAGUGUGUGUGUGUAUGCAGUGUGUGUGUGUGUGUGUAUGUAUGUAUGCAGGGUGUGUGUGAGUCUUUGUCAGUGUGUGAGAGUGUAUGUCCGUGUGUGUGUUAGUGUGAGUAUGUAUGUGUAUUUUGCACAUUUGUCCAUGAGUGUGUGUGUAUGUACUUGGUUUAUAACCAUGAUAUUACAAUGUGAAUGUUUUGUAUUGUGUGGGGUUGAUGCUGAAUUGCAAUUUUUUGUAGUUGUUGGUUGCAGAGAAGAGGAGCAUAAACAGAAGGCUAAGGCUAAGGCUAAGGCUACUGCAGAUCAUACUGACAUAGCUAAUGAACUUGAAGCAAUGGGUCUCUCUCCUAUGGAUCAAAUUGAUGCAUUGUCUCUUAUUUUGGAUAAACCAAAAAAUGUGGGAGUGUUCAGGGCAAUCAAACCGGAACUCAAGAAAGUGUUCGUCCAAAGGCUUUUAAGCGACAACGCAAGCGGAUGAGGAUUUUGGCUAAUGUUAACAUGGAUGUAUUUUAUUAACGUUAACAUGGAUGUAUUUUAUUAAUCAUACAAUCUUAUGUUAUGACUUAUAACUUAGCUUUGCACUAGUAUUUUGGCUUAUGUUAACUAGCCAUUUUGUAAAUUAUGGAGAUCUAUUUUGGCUAAUGUUAACUAAUGUUAACUAGGAUUUUCUAAAUUAUGGAGAUCUUAUGUACUUGUAUUUGUUGAAGUUGCAUGUAUUGGCCACUAUUAUUUUUCUUCUGUUGGGUGAUAGAGUUUAAAUCAAGCUACAUUUGCAAAUUAAACCCAAUUCUAUUAGCAGGUAAUAGAAACAAAAACAAUUGUCAAUUUUUUUUAAGAUUCAUAAUAUACAUGGCAAAAAUAUGCUCCAAUUAACCCAUAUCAUGAGAUUUGUAGCAUUACUCUAUUACACAAUGGCAAAAAUUUGUAGUCCUAGUCUAAGCAAACACAAAUCUGGUGAACAGUACUGUUUUUCUUAUCCUGCUUCUUAGUCCGAGACUGCACCAAACGCUUCACUAAGUUAGUCCAGCUUAGUCCAGUCUAAGCCAGUCCAGCUUAGUCCCGGCAGCUAGUCCAGUCCGAGACAGUCCAGCGCAACAAACGCACCCUACAUAAAUUGUUAGUUCGUUACACUUAUUAAGAUUUACAGAGACGGACCACCAAUCACUGCUAGCCACAUACAUCCUCCAAUUUUCAUCUUACCCCACAUGUUGUGAUGUGUAGGUGGUAGGAUGCAUGCAAUAUUAUCAAUUCUUUGACAUGGAAUUCUUGUAUGAUUUAACAUUUAUCAGUAGCAAUAUUGUCAUUUAAUUUGUUUUGUUUGGAAAAGGAUAUGUUUUUUAAAGUAGCCUUAGAUUCAGUGUUAAAUUCUCCUUGGUAUGGAACUUGUUUGUAUCAUACUUGAUUAAUCCUGAAACUACCAAGCACCGGUCAACGUUACCGGUCAACGUUAUACCGUCAAGGACCCAGAAGAGUUUCCCUCUAACCAGGAGGCUAAUCACAGCGCGACACGUGUCAAUAUCAGAGGUCAAUCACAACACGACACGUGUCAAUAUCAGAACAAAGCUAGAAACCCUCUUCUAUAAAAGGAGAUCAUUCUCCCACAAUAAUCUCUAAUGUCAUUUGUAUUAAAUCAUUCACAAGUACUCACUAAAGGAGAGCUUGAACCUAUGUACUUGUGUAAGCCCUUCACAAUUAAUAAGAACUCCUCUACUCCGUGGACAUAGCCAGUCUGGGUGAAUCACGUGCAUCUUGUGUUUGCUUCUCUGUCUCUAUCCAUUUACAUACUUAUCUGCACUAGUGACCAGAGCAGUCUAGUGAAGGUCACAAACUUGACACUUUCUGUUGUACUAAAAUCCUCGCUGAUUUUGUGCAUCAACAGAGCUAGACACCAUUUGGCACAAAUGAAUGGCACAAAUGAAGAAGGUACCCAGUUUUCUGAUGCUUUCGAUAAAGGAAACGAAAUGAUUAUUUGUCAUUAUGCUAAUUUCUUGUGGAGGAUCAAACGGUUCUUAAACAUCGGAUCAGAAGCAGUGCUGAAGAAGAGUGAAAGUGGUAGAUCAAUUUGUUUAUAACUUAAUAAAAAGCAAAAUUGAAAAACUCCAUAAUUCAUGAGAAGAUCAUGAGAUCCCUAGAGUGAAUUACCUCAAGUCAUCUGACUAGGUCCUGUUUUGUCUUGGAUUAAUGGUUACUAUUUCCCAACAUAUAUAUAUGGAUCAGGAUCCUCUCCUGAGUAAAGGGUGAGGAUUCUCCUGACUAAGCUCAUCAGGCUGUUGAAAUUUUACUCAACGGUUACAAACAGAAGGUCACUCUAAAAAUUAUUAUAAUUGUAGCCAUUAGAUAAAAUUUCAACAGACCGAUGGGCUUGAUCAGGAAGAUCCUUACCCUUGGCUCAAGAGAGGAUCCUGAUCCUAUAUAUAUAAAAGAUCAUGUUCCAUUUUGCAAAUAUUUGCGGUAGGCAAAAAUUAUAUUUGUGAGCGGGGUGAGCUGUAAGCCUUUAAUAACUAUAAAUAUGAAACAACAAUAUAAACGCAUAUGAAGACAAAUUUUUAAAAUGGUCUGUCUCUUUUCUGCUAUUUUUUUAUUAUUCUUGUUAUUACUGCUUCGAAUCGUAAAGAAUAUGAACCUUUGAUUAAAACGUUGAUAUGGUUUUCUGACAAAAUGAUAGAUAUAUACUUGAUAGGGUUUUCUGAUUAAAAUAUAUUUCACCAAGUGGGGUGUGGGGUUCAUGUUUCAGUCAUAAAGGCUGCAUGAAAAAAUAGACGAGAAAACAUUAUUAUUAACCACAUUUACAAUCCUUAAGGUUAGGGUGUUUUUUUUUUUUUUUGGUUCGAAAACGAGAGAUCAUAUUGUGGGGGAACCCCACAAGGAACGCAUAAAGGAGGUAGGACACGCUCCAACCCCCAAGGACAAACCAACUAGAGACAAUAAAAGAAGCCAAAACAGCAGCCAUAGAAAGAGAUAAACUACAGAAUGAUAGAGGGGACUACACAAGAGGCGUGGGAAACGGGUUGUAAAGAGACAGGAAGCGCAUCUCCAGUCCGGGUUAGGUGGUUUUUAGGAGUUAUAUGUUUAGAGUGCUACUAAGCUCACAUCAAUGUCUUAUUUUUCCAUUCAUUUUGAAAUAAUAAUUUAAUUGACAACUUUAUCCUUGUGUAAAAUGACAUUCAAAAACUUAAAAGACCAAUCAAUCAUGUCUUGCCACAUCAUUAGUUAUAUUGACAAAAACCUAAAAUAUCAUAAAUGAGAAAAAGAAAAAGCAUUGGAACAAUUUGGAUACCUGCCAUAUAUUGAAUUUGGAGGAAUCUGAUGUCAGGAAAAAGCCAGAGCAACACCAAAUUAUGAGGGUUGAGGUUUUGGGGGUGCUGGUAUAGUGACGGUUCUGAAAUUAUGGGGCUGCUGGUGAUAUUUGGAGGUUCGUGAUAAUAUAAAUAAUAUCCGAAUAGACGACCUAUGAUUUACUAGAAGAGCAACUUGCCUUUUUUGGGCGAGAGAUUUCCUUUAAGAAAUAGUUGAAUUUUGGCUUUAGCAAAGAAGACUUAGACCUAGUUUGGGAGUGAGGUGCUUAAAAAAAAAGCACACAUGAAAAAAAGCUGUGAGGGUUUUAGGUGUUUGGUAAACUGAAAAAAAAAGGCUUAUUUUGGAAGCUGCUGUGAGAAUAAGCUGAAAUCAAAGGAAAAAGCUGAAGCUGCUAUUUGUAGCUUUGGAAAACUGGCUUUUUUUCAAAGCACUCGAAGCUACAGUGCUUCUUUAAUAAAAAGACCCACUAUUAGACUGCUUUUUUUUCCAAAAGCACUUUUACAAAAAAGUUUACCAAACACUCUGCUGAUUUAUUUCACAGCCGCUUAUUCUCACAGCACAGCCGCUUAUUCUCACAGCAGCUUUUUUUUCAAAGCACAGCAAUACCAAACCAGCCCUUAAUGUUGUGAAGGUAAAGACCCCCGCUCGCAAGUGCCGAGGAGAAGCAGGUAUGGGUGUUCAAAAGCAUGAUAACCCAUAAUCUUUAGCAAUAAUCUUCCACAAAAGCUUUCAUUGUUGAGUUUGCUGCAACAAUGGGGUAAUCUCUGAAAGUAAUUCUUUUGUUGUACACGAUAACUCCAUUAUCUACCUCUACCACCCUCCAGUGGCGAAGCUAGGAUUUGCCGAGGGGAUGGGCGAAAUUCAAAAGAGUGUAAGGUUCAAUUGAAGCGGUUGCUUUCACAUUAGAAAGUGCAAAGUUUUGAGUCAAUAUUCAUAUAAAAAACAGUCUCUUUACCAAAGAGAUUGUAAGCGGUAAAUAUCAAAGUCAUGUAAGAAGCUUAAAUUGGUUAGAAUUAGAUUCUAAAAAACGUUAGGCACUAGUCAGUCAGCGAAAUGGGGCGUAGCAGCUAGGCGCCUAGGCAAGAUUUGGGUAGGAGCCUAGAUGAAUUUAAAUAAAUUUCUUUUAUCGUAAAAUAAGCAUUAAACAAUAUUUAUAUUAUUUUUUUAAACAAUAUUUAUAGAUAAUAUAAAAGUUCAAGAUAGAUACGCUGGGGGUCUUCAAAAGAGGGAGAAAAAUACAUACAAGAAUAAUAAAAGUGGGUCACAAAAAAAUAGACAGGUGCCCUAAUAACAUUAUAACACCCGUCCAUUUAAUAUUUUCCCAAACCUUUUGCUAUGUUGAUAACCAAACACCUCCCUUCUCCUACCAUUACCCUUACCAUGGUAAAUCUGCAAAAUCGAAGCCCUUCAUCAAUACCAUCGCAACCUUCUCCUCCAACAUCCCUCCUUCGUCGAAUUCACCCUCAUUCCCUCCACUCAACCUUCUCGUCCAACAUCCCUCCUCCAUCGGAAUAACAUUGUUUAAACUAAUCGAGUAUAAUUUUCAUGUGUUGCAUAUUCCUAAUUUCUACUCAUUUAAUUAUUAAAACAAAAAUUCAUAUCAAUUAAUGGAGCUAAAAAUAUAAAAAAAAUAAAAUUAAGAAAUGAAGUGGUGGUUGAGAGGAGGAGGUGGACAUGCGGUGUGGCAUGGUCAGAUGGAGUUAGAAAGAAAAAGGAAACUGGGGAGAGUAAAAAGGGAUUGGGCAUUAGGAUUACCUAUUAGGGUCUCUUAUAUAAAAUAUUAAAAUGGGAAUUGGGUGAAUGCCAAAGAUUGAAAAAGAAAAGGAGGACAGUGGACACGGUCUGAGACUGAGAGGGGAAUGAGGGACACGCGGUCCCCCCUAUUUAUAUAUAUUUAUUUUUUCCAAACAUAUACAAAACGGUUUCGUUUUCGUUUUAGCCUGGAUGUUUGAAAAAAGAGAAAGGAUUCACCUCUGCUGCGCAGCAGCAUAACCACUGCACCGGAACAGAGAGGGGAUGAACCAGUCCAGUUUUCCGACAAGGGGAGGGGCUGAACCUUUGCUCCAGGCGUGUUUUCCGGCCAGGGGAGUGGCGGCCGCCACUCCUCGCCCUCACGUGGCUUCGCCCUCUGUUUAAUGAUAUAUAUUUUUUAAUUAUGAUUUUUUUUUUAAAUUAUGAUAAUUUUUUAAAGCAAAGGAAAAAUUAAAGAAUAAAUAUAUUAUUUUGGGAAUAAUGGUGGGUGGGAAAAUAGUUUAUAUGUUUUUCUACUUUUCGUGGUGGGUGUACAUAUAAGGUGGGUGAAGAAAUAAGACACUGGGUGGGCAUAUCACCACCCUUUGUUUAAGGUUAUAAAUUAUUCUUUACAUUGAUUACGUCAAUCAACAAUUUAUUGCCUCAACUGAUAGGUCAAUGAAAGCUCUAAAAAGUUGAGUUACUUCUUUUAUAUAUAUUUUAGAAACUUCAGCGGUACGAGGAAAUCUUAUUGAUAUGAAAAAAAAAAAGUUACACCUAGUCAGAAGGACUAUAAACCUUAUCCCUCAUAAAACAAGAAAACCAACAUACAAGAAAAGAGAGGGACAUAAACCUUACCCUUCUUGAAAAAGAAAAUAUAGGAAAAGAGGGGGGAUAUAACCUUAUCCCUCAUAACACAAGAAAACCAAAAUACAAGAAAAGAGAGGGACAUAAACCUUACCCUUAUUGAAAAAGAAAAUAUAGGAAAAGAGGGGGGAUAUAACCUUAUCCCUUUUGAAAAAAAAAAAUACAAGUAAUAGAAGGGGACAUAGAGUCAAUCCCAACUAAAAUAAAGCUUAAAAGUUACCUGCAAGAUAAACUGCAAAACAGAAAGGAAAACCCAAAAAGAUUAGGUAAAAAAGAAAAUCACACAUCAAGAAGAAGAGAUAAAUCUGUAAGCCGACAUGCAUGCCUAAGAAAUCUGAAUGCAGAAAAGGAAGAAUUUUUACAGGAGGAGUUGCAUGCGAAACAAGAGAAGACAAGAGAUAGGGAUAAUAGAUCUAAUACCAGACCAUAUAGAAGACCGUUUGUAACAAGUAGAGUAUAAAGGACCAUGAAGCUGAAAGCUCCCUCGAAAAUAAACACUCCAUAAAGAAUCAGAAGUAAUAACAACCCAUCCAAGCUUUAAAAGAGCCACAAUAUUUAGAGAGCAAAGAUCUAUUGGAAGUAUGCCCACAAAGCAACUCAUUUGAUGUAAUAGCUUUUGGAAUACUUAUUGUGUUAAACUAUUAUAUGUUUAAUGAAAGGCAAAGCUUAUUGUUAAUCACUAUUUAUUGUAUUAUGUGUUUAAGCAAUAAGGGAAUCCAAGGAUUGUAUUUAAUCUAAGAGAGAAGUGAUCUAAGUAAGUUAGAUUAACGAGACAUUUCUCUUAUGUUCAUUCCUAAAACGUUUCUAGCCAUAGGAUUGCCAAUUAGGCAUUGACAAUCCGCUAAGGUUAGUAUGUGUUAUGUUAAUUCAAGCGCGAGUAUAACUAGUCUCAAGUCAUUUAGUGUUGGACACUGAGGCAAACACAUAGGUGCUCAAAAUGGUAAUCGAGUACACUGAACUACGAUCAAAAGAAAGUUUGAACAUACAUGUCAUGUAAGAACUCGUAAGUUGUAAUAUGUAAAAUAGUCCUUUGACUUGAGGCAUCAUAGAUGUCUAAUGGUUAGGUCCUUGAUCUUUGAUUAUGUCAAAGACAUUCCAUCGAGAGUGUCCAUGACAUUGUUGGGGUCAAGCUAUCUAAGUAACAAGUUCCUAGAUUAUCUCAAAGAGUGUAGAAUAAUAUCAUAAUGGACUAUACCGGAAACUACACAACUUAAUGGAGUUUCUAAAAUGAGAAAUCGAACCUUGAUGAACAUGGUUCAUUCUAUGAUGAGUUCUAUCGAUCAACUAUUAACAUUCUGGGGAUACGCUCUAUGUACAGCAGCUUACUUGCUUAAUAGAGUAUCUUGCAAGUCAGUUUCACAGGUGCCCUAUGAGAUAUGGCAUGGCAGAAAGCCAAGUUUUAAUCAUAUUAAGAUUUGGGGUUGUGAAGCAUAUGUCAAGAAGUUUGAAGCUACUACGCUUGAAGCGAGAUCAAUUAGGUGCUAUUUUGUGAGAUAUGCUUUAGAAAAUAUGGGAUAUGAGUUCUACCAUCCUGACGACUAGAAAGUCUUUGUUGCCAGAAUUGCUAAGUUUCUAAAUGACGAUUUUGUUCUCAAAUGAACUAUAAGUAAAACGAUGGAAAUUAAUGAGAUUAAUGAUGAACCAUAAACAAGCACUCGACAAGUUGACAACCAUGUUCCUGAACCUCAAGCUCCAAGAAGAUCUGAAAUGGUCAUCAAGCCACCUCAAAGGUAUGGUAUGAAUGACAACUUUGGAGAAUUGCACCUUCUAGGUGACAAUGACACAAAUAAGGACCCUAGAGAUUACACUAAAGUAAUGUCCAAUAUUGAUUCAAAGAGAUGGCAAGAGGCCAUGAAAUCUGAGAUGGAUUCCAUGUAUCAAAAUCAGGUAUGGACUCUAGUAGACCCUCCAUAAGGUAUAGUACCUAUUGGAAACAAAUAGGUCUUCAAGAGGAAGAUAGGCGCUGAUGGGAACAUGGAGACUUAUAAGGCUAAACUAGUAGCCAAGGGUUACAGGCAAUGAGAAGGGAUUGACUAUGAAGAAACCUUCUCUCAUGUAGCCAUGAUUAAGUCCAUUCGGAUUCUGCUUAUUAUAGCUACAUACCAUGAUUAUGAGAUAUGGCAAAUGGAGUGAAGAUAACAUUUCUGAAUGGCUACCUAGAGGAAGAGCUCUAUAUGACUCAACCCGAAGGUUUCGUGUCCAAGUCUGAAAAGACUAAGGUAUGCAAGCUUAAAAGGUCCAUUUAUGGACUUAAGCAAGCCUCCAAGAGCUGGAACAUUCGUUUUGACAUUGAAAUCAAAUUGUUUGCUUUUACUCAUAAUAAAGACAACAAUUGUGUUUAUCAAAAGGUCGUUGGGGAUGCAGCAGUAUUCCUAGUGCUAUAUGUAUAUGACAUAUUACUAUUCGGGAAUGACACUGCAGUGCUAUCUUCUGUAAAAGUAUGGUUGUCCAAAACCUUCCAUAUGAAAGAUUUGGGAGAUGCAUCUUAUGUAUUGGGGAUAAAGCUCUAUCGUAAUAGAUCCAGAAAAUUAAUUGGAUUAUCCCAAUCUAUGUACAUAGAUAGGGUGCUAAGUAGGUUCCAAAUGAAACAAUCUAAGAAAUGUAUUCUUCCUGUGAGACAUGGAAUUCACCUUUCUAAGUCCAUGGGUCGAAAACGCCUGAAGAGAUACGGCAGAUGAGUAGGACUCCUUAUGCUUCUGCGAUAAGAAGUUUCAUGUAUGUCAUGAUAUGUACAAGGCCUGAUAUCGCUUAUGUUGUGAGCAUUACUAGUCGAUAUCAAUCUAACCCAGGAUCAGAACAUUGGGCAACUAUCAAGACGAUCCUUAAGUACUUAAGAAGAACUAUGGAUAUGCUCCUCGUUUAUGGAGGAGAAUCAGAGUUGCGAGUGGAAGGCUAUACUGACUCAGAUUUUCAAUCUGAUGUCGAUGAUAGAAGUUCCAACUCUGGAUAUGUAUUCACUUUAAAUGGUGGGGUUGUCAUCUGGAAGAGUAAGAAACAAAAAGUAAUUGUUGAUUCCACGACGGAGGCAGAAUAUGUCGUUGCAACUAAAGCCAGCAAAGAAGCAUUAUGGAUGAAGAAAUUCAUCACUAAACUUGGAGUGGUUCCAACCAUUACAUUACCAAUAACUUUGUACUGUGAUAAUAGUAGGGCGAUAGCUCAAGCUAAGGAAUCUAGAGCUUAUUAAAAGAACAAGCAUUUUGAUAAACGCUUCAAUAUCAUUAGACGAUAUGCCGCCGAAGGGAAAGUCAACAUCCUCAAGGUUGCCUUAGCCGAUAACAUAGCAGAUCCACUGACAAAGCCAAUGUCUCAAAUCCAACUUAACCGUCAUAUGGACAAGAUGGGUGUUAGAUACAUGGAAAGGUGGCUUUGAGUGCAAGUGGGAAAUUUUUGGAAGUAUGCCCACAAAGCCACUCAUUUGAUGUAAUAGCUUUUAGAAUACUUAUUAUGUUAAACUAUUAUAUGUUUAAUGAAGAGCAAAGCUUAUUGUUAAUCACUAUUUAUUGUAUUAUGUAUUUAAGCAAUAAGGGAAUCCAAGGAAUGUAUUUAAUCUAAGAGAGAAGUGAUCUAAGUAAGUUAGAUUCACGAGACUUUUCUCUUGUGUUCAUUCCUAAAACGUUCAUAGCCAUAGGAUUGCCAAUUAGGCAUUGACAAUCCGCUAAGGUUAGUAUGUGUUAUAUUAAUUCAAGCGUGAGUAUGACUAGUCAAGUCAUUUAGUGUUGGACAUUGAGACAAACACAUAGGUGCUCAAAAUGGUAAUCGAGUACACUGAACUACGAUCAAAAGAGAGUUCAAACAUACAUGUCAUGUAAGAACUCGUAAGUUGCAAUAUGCAAAUUAGUCAUUUGACUUGAGACAUCAUAGAUGUCUAAUGGUUAGGUCCUUGAUCUUUGAUCAUGUCAAAGGCAUUCCAUUGAGAGUGUCCACGACAUUGUUGGGGUCAAGUUAUCUAGUCAUGUAGGCAUAUGAAUGCACAACAAGGGAUCUCUAACCUUUCAUGGUAGAGGGAUAAUACUCUGAGAUAUGAUUCAGGAGUCUUUGGCCAAAACAUACGAAUAUAACUUAGAAAGCUAUUCCCAAAUCAUAUUCAAUUGAAUCAUAUAGAAAAGUAUCACAUUGGAUAGUAGACAUGAAACAAACUAUCACUCAAACAAUGUGAUUAAAAGUAUUGUAUUAGAGAAUGACCGUAUUGCAUUGUAAUUGUAACUGGAUAGGUUCUCCAACCACUUCUACUUAGCCUGGGUAGCCAUGACAUACUGCUAGGUGUCACUCAUGAUUUGUGGAAUCCCUGAAGAUUAGCAAACACUAAUCUUCAUUAAAGGGAGAAUUGAAAUGUAGUUUCAAUUCACAAUCAAUCGUUAAGAGUAACAAUCGCCUACUGCCUCGCUAAUUGGAACCUAAUGGAUCGUACAUCGAGUAAGGAUAAAAGUGAAGAAAUAAAAAUGAGAUGGAUAAGCAAUUAAAUGGUUUAAUUGAGAAUGGUCAAGAUUAAUUAAUUAUACGAAAGGUUCGUAUUGCGCUUUCAAGUUCAUUUCGGGUCUCGGGGCCCAAAAGGGUUUUGGUCCACAAGGCCCAUUGAGUUUAAGUUGUGUGACAACUAAAACUAAAUAGAAAUUAACCCAAAGACAAAGUCAAAACCAGCCAUAGGGUGAAUGGUAGCAAACUUGGGUUAAUUGCAAGUUUGCCACUCACAUGUGAGGUGGUAUAAAGGCAUCUUUAUAGCCAUUCUCUCACUAGGGUUUUCUUGAGGCAAAGAAGAGAAAUUUUUUCUCCCUUUUUUUCUCAAUAAAGGCCGGCCUUCCUAGGGGAGUUCACUAGCAUCCAACUUCCUCUAGGUAAUCCAUUUUAUCUUCACACCAUCAUCCUUGGUGUGGAGAAUUAGAGGUACCAAACUUUUGGUAUCUUUGGAGUUCCUUUCCUCAUAUCCUCAAGGAGCAAAGGAGCAUCAAAAGGGAAGAAAAUCACAAGGAAGAUCUGAGGAGCUAGGAGGUGACUUGAAGGCCCUUCAUUUGGUUGAAGACCUUGUGUAAACAAGGAUGAGCUUCAAGGGUAAUGAAUCUCAAAAUCCUGUCUUCUCUUUAAUGUUGUUAAAGAGUCUUGUGGUUCACCAUUCGCCAGGCUUUGAAAGUCAUGGGUUUUAGAAUUAUUUUUUAAUGUUUGCCUACUUUAAAGUGUUGUUAGUUUGCUUAUGUGUUCAAAUGUUUUCACAUGUUCUUAACUAGGACAAAUAAUUCCCUUCAAGAUCACACAAUCCUAUAUCACCCUUAUUUUUUUGUGCACAAAUCUGAGACCAAGAAACUGUGACAAUUUUCUUUGAAGUCACGUCAGCUGACUAUAUAAAAUUGUGAGCACAUCGCGAAAGAGACCUCAGCAAGGAAGAAGGUCACUGAUAAACAGAGAUAAUAUGCAAAAGCAUAGAUUGAAUAAGCUAAACUUUUCCUGCCAUUGUUAAAAGUUUUCCUUUCCAACCUGUUAACUUAGCUUUAGCUUUAUCUGCCAAGGCCUAAAGAUGACACCUCAUAUGCUUGCCAUGAAAAAUUGGAACUCCUAAAUAAACAAAUGGUACUUUACCUUCUUAGAACCCCAAGUAUCACUCGACUACAACUUUGCGAUGCUUUGAAGUAAAGCCCAAAUAGAAAGUACUUUUGUCCUUAUUGAUAUAUUGACCAGAGGCCCUACUGUAUCUGUCUACGAAACCUUGCAAAUUACACAAAGUGACGACAUCACUUCUGCAAAAAAAUGAAAAUAUCGUUUGCAUAAAGUACAUGAGAAAGAGAAAUACAACCUCCUGGAGCAAAAAUUGGUUUAGUAAGCCUAUCAAGUUGGAGCCAACUCAGACCCUUGGAUAGAGCUUCCUCAGCUAGGCAGAAAAGCAAUGGAGAGAGAUGAUCCCUUUGUUGCACUCCUCGAGAACAAAAGAAAAAUCCAUGCAGGGAACCAUUGAUUAAGAUGGACAAUUUAGCUGAUCUCAAGAUAGUAGAAACCCAGUCCACAAAACAAGUGGAGAAAUCAAAAUUAGUAAGCACCCGUAAUAGGAAGGACCAAUUUAAGGUAUCAAAAGCCUUAGCUGUAUCAACUUUAACUCCAACAUUAGCACCGCAAGAUUUUUUGUCACGCACAUUGAAGCAUUUUGAAACUAGGCCAAUAUGGUGAAAGAAAUGGCAUUUCAUGUGCUUAUAAAAAGUUUGGCUACUCAUUUCAACUUCUUUCAUUGUAUUAUAGAGCAGAUUAACCCAUGUAGAAAGCCCAACGAGCACACACUCUCCGUGUCAUCCACUUUGUUUUAUUCACGUGUCAGACUUGAAAUUUCGUCACAUGUGAGAUGACAUGUUCAAAAUGAAUACACCGGAGAAAGAAGAGACGUGACAUAUGCUUUUAAAGAGUUAGGCUGCUCCCAUAUUACCAAUUUGUUUAACGAUGAAACCUUAACUUAUUUCAAUAUUGAUUUAACUAUAGUGUGAGACAAAAAAUUUCAUUGAUUUUAGUUGAAGAGGAUAACUAUUUUAAUUGACAUGUGAUUAGAAAUAAAAUAUCUGAAAUAUAAAAUGAUUUAUUGACCAUAAAUUAAAUUUUUAUUUUAAAAAUGACAGUGUUGUAAUUUUCUCACAUCACACUUAAGUUCUUAUAAAAUGGAUUUGAAUCCUCUACUUUGUUUUUCUCAGGUAAGAUAUAUGUACAUUGUGUUGACAACAUUAUGCAUAAGUCCUAUAGGAAAACAAUCUUAUGACACUUGCUGGACGAAUGUGAAUGCAAGAACGUACGGGAGAGGGCUUGAACAAGGUCAUUACCCAAAUCAGAGUCUCUAAUUUUUACACAAGAUGAGUAUUCUUUGUACGUCGGUUGUCUCCUCCAUUAUUCUUCCCUACUAUUUACUAAUUUUGAAUAGGAAAAAAUUAUGAACCUCAUAUUAAAAUCUGGAUAGGGUUGUUCCGACAAAAUGCUAGAAAUAUGGUCGUUGUUUAUUCAAACUGAAUGAAUAAAUGAUUACCUUUUCGAUUACAUUUAAUAAUUAAAAAAAUAUCUCAUAAGUGCUAUCUGGUAUGGGUAUAAGAUCAUCUCCAACCGAAGGGUCCAGAGGGUCGAAAAUAGCCCAAAAAUCGUCUCCAAUCGAGGGCUAGGCCAAAGGACUCGUAGGCCCCACUGGACAAAAAAGGGCCAAAAGGCUAACCGGCUGGCCCAACUCAGCCAGCUAGCCAGCCUCGGGCUGGCCAAAAAUUUCAUUAUUCCUGUCGGUUAGGCCAUCUCUAACCGAAAGUUGGCCAGAUGGCUCGUUUUAGCCCUCUGGCCCUCCAAGAAAUUAAUAUUUUAAUGAACAGUAUAGGAUCAUAUUUGCCUCCAUCUCCAACCGAGGGCUAAAGGGUCAUAGGGCUCGUUUUAGCCUUAUCACAAAAAAUCGUCUCCAACCGAGGGCCAAAAGGCCAAACAUAAUUUAUUUUUAAAAAACUACAACUUAAAUUCAAAUCCAACGGCUAAGUGACAUCAGCUAGCCGUUGGAUUUGAAUUUUUAUUUUUAUUUUUUGCUAUAAAUAAGGUGGAUAUUGGGCUAUAAUUCACACAACUUUGAAUUCAAUCUAUUUCAAUUCAAGUUUGCAAUGAAUUCCAACUUUGGAUCAUCUUCAGAUUAUAACUGGGGGUCCUCAUCCAAUUCCAAAUUGGAAGAAAAAUGGGUGCAAAUGAGACGAGAAGAUGAGGAGUCUGAUGAAGAAGUUCAAGUAAGGCGCAACAAACAAAAUAGAGCAGCAGCCAUAACUGUGGCCAUGGUGUGUCAGCCAACUGAGGAACAACCUCAAUGGGGUGGCUUUGUUGUUGGUUACUCUUACAAACCACAAAACAGAGCGAUGACGCAUGCCAAUCUGAUGAACAACUACUUCAAACUCAACUCGGUGUACACAGAAAAGGAUUUCAGACAACGCUUCCAAAUGAGGCGUCAUGUCUUCAAGCGUUUACUUCGUGAUAUCCAGCAGGUCAAUCCAUACUUUCGACAGAAGCGAGACAGAGCAGGCCGCCCUGGUUUCUCACCUCAUCAGAAGGUUACUGUUGCACUCCGAAUGAUGGCCUAUGGCUCCCCAGUUAAUUCGAUGGAUGAAACCCAUGAUAUGUUUGAGUCUACAUGCCUUGAUACUCUUAAACAAUUAUGUGACAUAAUUGUUCAUGUUUACAAAGACUAGUACCUCCGUGAGCCAAAUCAAGAAGAUCUAAAUCAGCUCAUUCGCAAAGCUAAAGACCAUGGGUUUCCGAGCAUGAAAGGGUUAUUAGACUGCAUGCAUUAGGAUUGGAAGAACUGUCCCACCAUAUGGCAAUGAGGCUUAUGCGAAAGGUCGAGAAAGCCAACUGUUGUGUUAGAGGCGGUUGCCUCAUAUGACACAUGAAUCUGACAUGCUUUUUUUGGAGUCCCUGGAUCCCAAAAUGACAUUACAGUUCUUGGGCGUUCACCCCUCUUCAAUCACCUGACGGAAGGUAAAGCACCUUAACUUGACUACUACAUCAACGACCGUCCAUACAAUAUGGAGUAUUACUUGGUAGAUGGCAUCUACCCAAAGUGGGCGACACUUGUCCAAGCAAUUCCAAACCCAAGGAAUGACGAGGAAAAGUUGUUUACCUUACACCAAGAGGCAUACCGGAAAGAUGUUAAGAGAGCUUUCGGCAUUCUACAAGCACGGUAGAAGAUCAUCAGCGAACUGACAAGAGGGUGGAGUCGAGAAAAUUUGGACUCCAUCAUGAUGUCUUGCAUCAUAUUACACAAUAUGAUAAUGGAGGAUGAGUGAGAUGGGUAUAUUGAUGGAGAGUCCGAUGAUGACCAAGAAGAUCCAAAUAUGUCAAGAAGGGCUCGUGCAAAAAUAUAUGAUGGGCCUAAUUUGCCUUUCAAUCCAAGAACUGGUAGUAUUUCUAUAAAUGAGUACAUGAGGUGCUAUAGAAUGAUACGUUCCCGUGCCACAAACAAGUACCUACAACAGGAUCUUGUUGCACAUCUUUGGGCCAAAAAUAGCAUGGAGUAGGCAUUUAAGUUUUAUGUUGUAUAAUUAUUAUGUUUGUUAAUGUUAUUUAAUGUUGUUUUAUGUUGCUUAAUUUAAUUUAACGUUGUAUAAUGACUUAGGAAGUUAUAGGAAAAAAAUAGAAUUUAAAAAAUAUAUGAAACAAAUUUUGUAAAAUUGAAGUUAUAGGAAAAAUAUAUAAUUAAAAAAAAUAUGAAACAAAUUUUGUAAAAUAGAAGUUAUAGAAAAAAUAUAAAACAAAUUUUAAGUUAUAGAAAAAAAAUAGAAGUUAUAGGAAAAAAAUUGUGUAAAAAAAAAAUAACGGCUAGCUGACGUCCGCUAACCGUUGCAUUUGAAAUUUGGCCUAAAACUCCUGUCGGUUAUAUCCGACAGGAAGGCUAGAAUUUCUGGCCCAACCAAGGGCUGGCUGGAUUGGGCUAGCCAAUUGGCCUUUUGGCCCCUUUCAAAUUCUGUGGGAGCCACGAGCCAUCUGGCUUAGCCUUAGUUUGGAGACGGUUUUUAGGCUAUUUUCGGCCCCGUGGGAGCCACGAGCCCUCUGGCCUAGCCCUUGUUUGGAGACGAUUUUUGGGUUAUUUUCGGCUCUCUGGCCCUAUGGACCAUUCAGUUGGAGAUGGCCUUAUAUCCGAUAGCAUUGUACUUAUUCCUGUCGGUUAUAUCUGACAGGAAUAGUAGGUCUUUUUUUUUUUUUUUAACAAAAUUAAAUUAUUUUUUUUUAAUUCUAUGUUUUUCUUAUAACUUCCUAAGUCAUUAUACAACAUUAAAUUAAAUUAAGUAACAUUAAACAAUAUGAAACAACAUUAAAUUUUAAUAAUAAAUUAUGUAUGACCCUUGGUUGGAUAUGUAGGCAAAUAUAGUUUUGCACUGUUCAUUAAAAUAUUAAUAUCUUGGAGGGCCAGAAGGCUAAAAUGACCCUCAUUCCGUUGGAAAUGGUCUAAGGUUUUGAGGAGGUGAAGCUGUCACUUGUCUCUCGUCCGUCACCGGCCCUGCUUUCCAUUAAAUGAGCCGAUCUUCUCUAUAUUAUAUAUAGGUAAUACAAAGUGUUUCUGGAGGUACGUUCUUCACCAUCCUACCGAGUACCAUGGAUGUUCUUUCCUUUCGUUUUCCUCCUCCCAUUGCAAUAAGUUUAGCGGUAGUAAUUUUAACUGUGCUUGUGAUAAGAUUCCGUGCUAGAAGGUUGGGUGCUGAGAAAAAAAAGAGAUACCAUCCUGUCGUCACAAAUUUCUUGAACACACUCAUCAACUUCCCUAGGCUGCACCAUUAUAUGACCGAGUUUGAACACAAACACAAAAGUUACAGGGCUUAUAAUGUGAUCAUAGAUUACAUUAUCACCACGGAUCCUGCAAAUGUUGAAUACAUCCUCAAAACAAACUUUGCAAACUAUGGCAAGGUAUGCUGUCUCUGACUAGUUAAAUGAGAAGUUCAUGAUAUUAUAAAAUUUCAAAAGUAUUUUUUUGAUUCUUUGUCGCGUGUAUAUUUGAAGGGUGAACAUCUUAAUGAUUUUAUAAGGAUAAUAUUUAUGUUAAUCACCAUAGUUAUCUAAUAACAGAAGUUCCAAUUCCUGAGCUGCUGCAGGGUUGGUACCAUUCCGGCGUGCUGUCAGAUGUUUUAGGAGACGGGAUUUUUGCUGUGGACGGAGAAAAAUGGUUGCAUCAAAGAAAGGUAGCGGGCAAUGAAUUAACCACCAAAGUUUUGAAAGACUUCAGCAGUACAGUCUUCAAAACCAAUGCAGUAAAACUGGCCCGGAUAAUUUCUGAAGCUGCAACCUGCAACAAAGCAGUUGAGAUCCAAGUAAGCUUGCCAUGUAGAAUUAGUUCCUUAUAUAUUUAGCAUGAUUAGUAUUAGUUCCUUAUAUAUAUUAGGAGUUUCAGAAGGAGAUCCCACGGCACAAUAGCAAACACAUGUUUAGUUAUCACCAAAACCUGGAGUACUAUGCAAUGAGGAUUAAAUAAUUGGAACCGUUUAGUUUUUAGAUCUCCAUCCAAGAAUCAACCUUGUAAAUUAAAAUCAUUAGAAUCCAAAUAGUUUGAUUUGAUUAUAUUUAUAAACAUUGUCUUUUAAAACAUUGCAUUCGUCUAUUUAUGGACUAAUGAUUUUGAGAUGUGGUUAAUUUGUAAAGAUAAUUAUCUUUGAAUGAGGUUCCUAAUUCCUGUACAUAAAUACAACACACACACACACACACGCACAUAUAUAUAUAUAUAUAUAUAUAUAUAUAUAUAUAUAUAUAUAUAUUGAAUUCUUGGCGUAUAUAUAUUGAAUUCUUGGCGUUUUCUUUUUGGAACGAAGGAAUUGUUUAUGAAAGCAACCUUAGACGCCAUCGUCAAGAUUCUGCUUGGAAUUGAACUAGACACUAUGUACGGAACAAAUGAAGAAGGUAUUCAGUUUGCCCAUGCUUUUGAUGUAGCAAACGAAAUGACCAUCUAUCGUUAUGUUGAUUUCUCCUGGAAGAUCAGAAGGUUCUUAAACAUUGGAUCAGAAGCACUGCUAAGGAAGAAUGUCCAAUUGAUAGAUCAAUUUAUUUAUAACUUAAUCAAAAGAAAGAUUGAAACAGAUACUUCAUCAGAAGAUGAGCUACUGGCAGUGAGUAUUUAACCUUCCACUCCAUGAACUGUUAUAUUAAUUCCAAAAUGAAUAAUAAAUUUAGUAUGAGUAGUAUUAUUGUAAAAUAAAUAAUAAAGUUAAUAGUGUGGAUGACUGGCAAUAUUGGCAGUUAAAGAAGGGAGACAUCAUUUCAAGGCUUUUGAAAUCUCCAGAUGCCGAUCCAAAGUACUUGAGAGACUUGAUCCUUUGUCUCAUUGCUGCCGGAAGAGACACAACGGCGAGCACUCUUACGUGGUUUAUUUAUAUGCUAUGCAAGCAUCCUCAUAUACAAGAAAAGGUUGCAAAGGAAGUUAGAGAGGCAACAAAUCUGAAAGACAGUUCACGCAUUGAUGAGGCUGUUGCCACCCUUACUGAAGAAGCUCUUGAAAAAAUGCAAUAUCUACAUGCAGCUUUGUCUGAGACACUCAGGCUGUACCCUUCAGUUCCACUGGUAAUUAAGUACUUAUUAUCUAAAAUUAAAUGCAUGCACAAAUACAUCAAACAUUUCAUCAAUUUUCUGUAUUUGAAUCGUUGCGUGUUACUUUUUAAAUAUUUAACAAUUUACUUUGUGCGAUGCACGCUGUCAUAUAUAGAAUGCAAAAAUUUGUUUAGCUGAUGAUACUUGGCCAGAUGGAUUUAGUGUGAAAAAAGGGGAUUUUGUGGGAUUCCAUGUUUACGGAAUGGGCAGGAUGAAAUAUCUAUGGGGUGAUGAUGCAGAAGAAUUUCGACCAGAGAGAUGGCUAGACAAAAAUGGCCUUUUCCAGCAAGAAAGCCCCUUCAAAUUUACAGCUUUUAAUGUAUGUAAGAAAUUACAUGCAUGUUGAUUAAUGAAAAAAUAUGCACAAAGGAUGAGAUUAUUUCUGAAGAAUUUUGAUAUAUAUAUGUCAUUCACGUAUACAGGCUGGGCCAAGAAUUUGUAUAGGAAGGGACUUUGCCUAUAGGCAGACAAAGAUCAUGUGUGCCACACUUGUAGGAUGCUUCAAAUUCAAGCUGAGUGACGAGAAGUGGGUGGCUCAUUACUUGACCAAGAUCUCCCUCCAUAUCGACGGGGGACUUUAUGUGCAUGCCUCUCCAAGGCCUUAAACAGAUGCCUCCUUUCCACCCCCAUGCAGUUUGCUUAAUAUAUAAUUAUCAGAAUAUAUACUACUGUAUUAGAUAAUAAAAGAAGAGUUACUAAAAUGAAGCCUUCUUUACGUAUUCGAUCAUAAUCAUGUAUGUCCUAUGAUAAUAUAUAUUCAAUCGUUGUGUCAGAAUAAAUAUAUAUAUAUAUAUAUAUAUAUAUAUAUAUAUAUGUAGUGCUGGUUACAUUAAAAUAAGUAACUUUGGUUGUAAAACAUUAAGUUUGAUUUGCAAUAUAAGAUAUUUUUGUUUCCAUUUAAAUUCUGAAUUAUUGGGUAUUUGUAAACAAAAAGAAAAAAAUAAUAAUGAUCAUCUUACUGUAGGAAAUUUAGUUUUCUAGCAAUAGGAAUAGCAUGGCGAGUGAUGUUUUCCUCGCUGAUUUCCCUUAAAAUUUUCAGGUUUUUCCUAUUCUCGCUAUAUCCUAUGGGGAAACAGAUUAUAGCGAGAAAUGGGAACUUUGAGGGAGGAAACGUUUUGCUACUAAAUGGUCAACCAAACAUAUUUCUUCGCGGUAGGCUUUCCCCGGGGGCCUACGACCUCGUGAGGAAUUGUUUAAACGCUGAACCAUUUGUACGACAAUUUUGGAAUUAUUAGAACGAAUUUUGUGUUCGCUAAAAGGUGUUUUUUUGUAAGGCUUAGAACACUCUUUUAUCUUUUAAUGUAAAUAAUAUCGUUUAUUAAAAAAAAAUUAUUUAAAAGAGGAGAUAAAGGGCCAAGACCUUUCACUCUUCUACAUAAAGUUAUACCUACCACUCCUUCAAAUCUUCUCUCAAACUCAUACUUCUCUUUUCUUUUUCUUUUUUUCCCGUCAUUUCUCUUGUGAUCGGUCCUUUUGAUAGAAAUAGGGUUCUCCAUUGAUUUUUUUUGUGCUGUUAAAAUUAGCCUACUUCUUUUACGAUCAUCGUCUUUUGCAUUCUUUCAUGAUAUAACAAUAUAAGUGUAAACACAAAAAUUCUGUGACAAAUGAAACAAGAACACGUGUACCAAAUAAUUGUUAUUGUAUUAAUGUAAAUGUAGAGUUACAAUCUCUGUUUACAAAGUUCCUCUGAUUCGAUCUCUGAAGAUGUGUAGAUAUGACUUGUUGAUCCGAGGGUCAUGAUGACUUGAUAUCAGAUGCACGAUUGCCGUAAGGAUUUAGCUUGUGGUGAUUAAAGAACAGGCACGGGUAGUAGUGCUUCUUGAUGAAAUCAAAUAAUUCAUUUGACGAAAAUGAAUUAUUUGAUUAAAUUAAAUAAAAUCAAAUAAUUCAUUUUCGUCAAAUGCUGACACGUGUCAUUCUUGAUGACUCGUCCAAUUUCGAUGAGUCACAUCUAUGUGUACAAUUUGUGAAAUACAUGGUGCAUGCCACAUUUGUCCUGGCAUGUCAAAACUUUAAUGUUUUGGAAAUAUACAUGUGAAGGUUUUCUCAGGACUCUCCUAAUGUUUGGUACGCGUCUUUUUUGUGCUUACUAAAAGUUUGAUGUAAUACAUGCGAGGGAUAUCUCGACAUAUUGCGUUGAUAGUACUUGACAAGUUUUCUAUAUCACUCAUUAGAUUACUUCGGCAUAUACCGAUAUUUGUUGACAUAUCCCACUAAGUUAAUAAACUUUUUUUUUCUUUUUUUUUUUUGCACUUCGUGCCCUGUUCUUAUCUUAAAAACUUUUUUUUGACACUAGGAACCCCAAGUUCAAAUCUUGGGCCCGCCGCUGCUUCCCUUUUUUUAUUCAGAAAAAGCAUGUUAACACGACAAUGGCCUCGCGCCCAAUUUUAGAACUCUCUGUAUUUAGAGAGGAUGAUUGAAACCCAAAUGGCAAGUGUUAGGAGCACACUACUACAUUUGCUCCAUGAAUGCAAGAACAUGAGAGAGCUUAAACAAAUCCAUACCCAAAUCAUAAAGUCUCCACUUUUACCCAAAGAUGACCAAAAUUUUCUCAUUACUCGUCUCCUUUUCUUCUCGGCCAUUUCUGAUUCGGGUUCUCAUGGCUACGCCAUCGAUGUUUUUCGAGCCAUAGAGAACCCGAAUCUCUACGUGUAUAACGUCAUGAUCAGAACAUAUGCGUGUAGAAAGAUCGGCGGCAGGGAUGAAGCUCUUUCUUUUGGGUCCUUGUUGCUGUAUAAGCAGAUGCUCUGUGAUGGGAUUUCGCCGAAUUGUCUCACUUUUCCGUUCCUUGUGAAAGAAUGCACGAGCAGGGUUGAUGGCAGCGCAGGAAGGAGCAUCCAUGGUCAAGCCGUUAAGUAUGGGUUGGACAGUGAUGUUUUUGUUCAGAAUUCUUUGAUGAGUAUGUAUUCUGAGUGCGGGUUUUUUAGUAGUGCACGUAAACUGUUUGAUGAAACGCCGGGGAGGGAUGUUGUCUCUUGGAACUCGAUGAUUAAGGGGUAUUUGAAAAGUGGGAGUCUUGAUGAGGCAUUGAAGCUGUUUCGGAAGAUGAAGAAGAGAAACAUUUUUACUUGGAAUUCCGUGAUCACAGGGUUUGUUCAAGGUGGACGACCAAAGCAGGCCUUGGAACUUUUUCACGAAAUGCAGAUCACCGGUGGUGAUAUUGUUAGACCGGAUAAGAUUACAGUUGCUAGUGUGCUAGCAGCCUGUGCUCAUCUUGGUGCAAUUGAUCAUGGGAUAUGGGUUCAUGGGUAUCUGAGGAGAAGUGGUUUGGACAGUGAUGUGGUUAUCGGGACAGCGCUGGUUGACAUGUAUGGUAAGUGUGGAUUUGUGGACAAAGCAUAUGAGGUAUUCCAGGAAAUGCCGAAGAAGGAUACUCUGGCAUGGACAGCUAUGAUUUCAGUGAUGGCUCUCCAUGGGUUAGGUAAUGAGGCUUUUGGUCUUUUUAAACAGAUGGAAACAGCCGGGGUGAAGCCGAACCAUGUGACAUUUGUUGCGCUAUUUUCAGCUUGUGCUCAUUCUGGUUUUGUAGAGAAAGGUCGCUGGUGUUUUGAUGCAAUGAAGCAUGUUUACUUAAUUGAACCACAGCUCUAUCAUUAUGCUUGCAUGGUUGAUAUACUCAGCCGUGCCGGGCUGAUUGAAGAGGCAGAACAGUGUAUAAGAAGUAUGCCAAUGAAACCAGACACAUUUGUUUGGGGUGCAUUACUUGGAGGCUGUCAAAUACAUGGAAAGGUGGAGUUAGGAGCAAGGGUGGCACAGUAUUUAAUUGAUUUGGAGCCUCUGAACCAUGCUUUUUAUGUGAACUUGUGCGAUAUAUAUGCCAAAGCUUGUAGAUUUAAUGACGUAAAGCGAAUCAAGUCAUUAAUGAAAGAAAGAGGUAUAAAAAAGGAAGUCCCGGGCUGUAGCAUGAUUGAAAUCAAUGGGUUUGUUCUUGAAUUCUCCGUGAGAGGAUCACCAAAUGUCGAAAUGGAGGGAUUAUUGUGGAUCUUGAAUCAGUUGAAUAACGAUAUAUCUAGAGACAAUGACACACGCUUCAGGGAAUCACUGUAAUGAGAGAUGAAAAUUCAGUAUAUCGUGGUCUAUUUGUUUACAAAAGAAGUAUUUCUUACGGAUGAGAAUAAUUUUGCUUAUGGAAUGAACUCAGUUGCUGGAAGAAUUUUCCCGAGGUAUGCUCUAAUAUUCAGGCCUUAAUCACCACGUGAUUCUUACUUUAUUGGCAGGUAGACAAAAUCUGUACUCGAAAUUUGUCCUCAGUUGCUCAUGAAAUUAUUUCAUUGUGUCUUGUUGCCAAGCAAUAGUUAUGGGAUGAGGGCAUGUGCGACAGCAAUUUGGCCAGCCAAUGUGUGUUGUGCUCACCAUGGAAUACAAAGCUUGCAGCCAACUGUCGGAUGCUAUCAUAGGAUGCAAAGACUUAUCGGAUGAAACUUGGUCAGAUGGAUUUAGUGUCAAAAGGGGGGAUGGCUCGACGAAAUAUCUAUUGGGUGAUGAUGCAGAAGUGUUUCGGCCAGAUAGCUGGCUCAACGAAAAUGGCCAUUUGCAUCAAGAAAGCCCUUUCAAAUUCACAGCCUUCCAGGUCGUACCCAGUGCACAAGGCUUCCGCUUUACGCAGGGUUUGGGAGAGGUGAAUGUCGGCUAGCCUUACCCCUAUUUAUGAGGAGGCUGCUCCCAAGUCUCGAACCCGAGACCUACCGCUCAUGGGCGAAGGCACUUGCCAUCGCACCAAGUGCGACCUCUAAAUUCACAGCCUUCCAGGUAAGAAGGAAAAUAUUGAUUGCAUUCACAUCCAUCACACAUCCUUUGAACACAGGAAUGCAAAAUACUAAAGAGAUUUUGUGAUUCUACGCAGGAGAGUCCAAGAAUAUGUAUCCGAAAGAAAUUCAGUUACAGGGAGAUGAAGAUAUUUUCUGCUGUGCGUUUAGACAGCUUCAUAUUCAAGCUAAGUGAUGAGGAGAAGGCAUCAACUGCAGGACGAUGGUCACCCUACACGUUGAUGGGGGCCUUUAUGUGCAUUCUUCUACAAGAUUGGGGUAUUUAGUUUACCGCUUAACUCUACUGUAGGCAGUGUGUUGCUCACUUGCUCCUCAUCAGUGUCAUCACUAUACAAUUUAUGUACAUUUACUUAUGGUAUCAUCAAUGGCAUAACCAAAUGUUUUCCUUCUUUUCUUAUCAAUGGCAUAACCAAAUGUUUUCCUUCUUUUCUUCUAUACUUGCCUUUUAAGAACGUGCCUCAUUCAAGUCUUAGAGAAAAACUUGGGUAGGACACUCCGACCGAAUCAUCACAAAAAGUUAAACACGGAACUUUUUAUCUCAUCAGGUGAAACCUAUCCUUGUAAACGAGCCCUAUCGAAGUUUCUGACUGUAUGUCUAAGAAAGUAAUCAUUACCGAACUCGCAUUCGGUAUUGGAGCUUGCAGGUAAUGUGUCUCCAUCAAUAAUGUCGUCCAAAAUGGAAAAUACAGGCUCCUUUUUUGAAAGUAUUCUGUCCUACUUAACUACUAAUAAUUGAACCUUUGACAAAAAAAAAAAAACCUACUGCUAAUUGACCAAAAAAAACUCAACUACUAACCACAACUUGAGACUUGCGCACAAGCUUUUCUUAUUGUUUUUGGGAAGUGUUAAUUCCAGUUUGGUACUGAGAUGUUUUUAUAAAAAAAGUGGGUAUAAAAAAAAUUGAGCUCAAAAAAAUGUUUGGUAAACACUUAAAAACAGCUUAUUUUCACAGUUUUGGAUGAAAAAAAAAAACUGAAAAUGUGAAGCAGCAAAAAUGAGCUUAUUCUCACAGUAUAUCAAAAACAGUUUUUUUUUCAAAGCACAGCAAUACCAAACCAGCCCUUAUUGGCAUUCCAAAAAUCUCAUUCUACACUUUUCACAAGUGUAUUUUGUUUUCCUAAUAUAGAAAGUUUGGAGUGAAAGAAAAUUUUGAAGUGCUAAUAACAAUUCCCUUGUUUUUAACAAAAUAUUUUUGCCUGUGUCAAACAGUGAUUUCUUCAUAUGUGUCGUUAAGGAGUCAAAACGAACUUAGGAAGCCGAUUACUGUUAGAAAACGUGCCUUAAUUUUGUCUUGGUCUACAGAAAACGCAGAGCAUGGUCCGUUGGCUAUAAAAAAAACAGAGCCCUUUCAGACAACAGAUGCAGAAAAGGCAUAAAAAAAAUACGAAGAGAAAUUCUCAGAGCCUACACUUUUAUUUUUUAUUGUUUUAGCCCUAUUUUUAUUGCGAUGGCUGCCCAAUUGGGUGCCAAAAGGGAUCAAAAUGCAGGCCAAUGGAAGAAAUUAAGGGCAGCCCCCUUGAAUCUCCAAUUUUUAUUCUUACAAGUUUGCCAUGUACAACUCCCCCUCCAAGUCUGUGAAGCCUCUUGUGCCCUACUGUGGUUCCAUUUACCACUCUUUUACCGUCCACGUAAAUUUCGUGCCGUUUGAUCCUCUGACCAAGCCCGAUCGCCUCCUGGAUCCGAAUCACAUUGAAUCUCAGCCCUUCAUCUGAUCCUGUGCUUCUAAAUUCAAUCCAAUGGCUCUCCUUUUCAUCAUCCCUUGGAGCCCAAUAUGUCCACAAAUGGUCAUUGUCUAGCAUAUUUUCAGGUCCAAAACCUCCUCCUUUGCCUCCUCUUCGGCUACUAACUUUGAUAGAACAUUUCUCUGCUAAAUUGGUAGAAAAUAUUGCGUCGAUUGCACUUCUGAAUUCUCUCAGUCUUUGAACAUCUUCGUCGGCUAUGAGCCCAGUCGGAUUAGGAGGCACAUUGAGUAGCAGCACACAAUUUCUCCCCACCGAGUUGUAGUAAAUUUCAAGUAGCUUGCUUAGCCUCUUGGGUGACUCUGAUUUAUGCCAAAACCAUCCAUCUCGGAUCGAAACGUCGCACUCUGCCGGCAACCAAUCCGUCCCUUUUGGAUCGCCCUUGUUGAGAUAACUGCAUUCAGUAACAAGACAUUCGUUAGGUGGUGGAUUAAGAUAUGAGAGAGGUCACUUUCCUACAAUAACAUCAAUCAAUCAACCAGUGUCCCUGUAUACACGUUAAGCCAAAUGAGCUACAGUUACGAGUUAUAUCGAAAUGAAUCGUAAUCCUGAAUCUACCCUAAUUCUAACUUGUAACCCUCCCAUCCAUCACUAAACUAGCUACAACUUCAAUUAAUCUGUAAUGCUAAGAGUUUGGCAAUCUACAAAACACUCCAUCUUAAACAAAAUAAAAUGACAGAGGUGGGUUAAGCUUGUAAGUUAGGCAGUGCUCGCCGGCCUAAACACUUCCAUCUUAAACAAAACCAAAUGACAGGUGCGGGUUAGGAUAGUUGACUAAGACAACGUAUCAGUCUGUCUUGCAUUCAAGUACAUCUACUUUUUCGUAAACUAGAGUUGUUCAAAAUAUUGCAUUGUCAGGGAAAAAAAAACAAAUAUAAAACAAGAUAUACCAAAAUGAUGGGAUUUUAUUACAAAGAGAAGAAAAGUGAAUUUCCGUGAAGUAGAAAAUAAAAAAAAAUGGUACUCACUCUUCAAUGCUUGCAUUGCCAAUUGAUAGUGAGGUCCGAUUAAUGGUGGACCAACACGUACUCCCGGCAAACCCUUGCUCAUUUCCAACCCAUCUAACAUCCGGACCAGCAUCCGAAAAUAUGUUAAUGGAGCUCUGCAACUCCUUCACCAUGGAGAACCAAUCUGUGAAAUAAUAGGACAUGUUUGGUGCAUUCUUCCCCUUAUUCCCAUCAAACCAAAUCUCUUUCACACCCCCAUAUCUAUCAACAACAAAACCAAAAAUCAAUAGAAGUUUAGUAUUCUUAACUAUUAAAGUUAAUAUUUUGUAACAGACUUGAGUUACAUCAGUUGAUCAAUGCGGCGAGGCCUUACCUGCUGAGGAGCUCUUGCAGUUGAGCUAAGUAGUACUGGUUGUAGGCAAUCUCAUGCCCGUAUCUCCGAUCAUGUCUAUCCCACGGUGAGAGAUAGAGCCCUAUAUCAAUCCCACGGGGAUUUGCUGCAUCAACCAGCUCAUGCACAACAUCCCCGUGACCAUUUCGCCAAGGACUAUUUGCCACGGAGUGAUCCGUGUACUUUGAAGGCCACAAGCAAAACCCAUCGUGGUGUUUGGCAGUCAGUAUCAUCAGUGAUAUGCCGGCGUCCGACGCUGUUCUGGCCCAUUGGUUGGCGUCGAGACCGACUGGGUUGAAUAUUCCGGGGCUUUCGUGCCCCGUUCCCCAUUCGGAGUCGGUGAAUGUGUUCACUCCGAAGUGGAGGAACAUGAUGAUCUCCCUUUGCUGCCAUUUGAGCUGGGCGUAUGUGGGAAGGGGCAGGAUUGGCAGUGGAGGUGUUGGGACUUGCUCAAGCUUGGAGAAGGUGCAAGUGCACAGCUGAAAGAAUGCGAUUAUCCACAAAGAGCACCAUAUUUUAGCCAUAAUUAUAAUGGCCUUGGCCUGUUGAGUUCUUUUCUUUGUUGUCUAUUUAGCACCUUUUAAAUAGGACUGGAAAUUUUGUAACCACAAUAAAUCCCAGAAGUUGAAAUUGGCCUCAUAGGGUUUAUCUCACUCUCUUUUUCUUUCUUAUAUAUCUUUUUGGGUUUAUGUUACUUAAUUUGCACAAUUUUAGUUUUGUUUCUUGUUGAAACUCUUGCAUGUACAUUAUAAUUGCUAGAGUAUUUACUAUUUUAAGGGUUUCUUUUUCUAUUCUAGCGGUUUUCUAAUUCAAUUUAAUCUAUGAAGAGAGAUAUUCGAACUUGAGUGCAUGUGAAUACAUUGUUCUGAUUCUCAGCUCAAACUUGCUGUUAUUUUUAGAAUUAAAAUGAAAACAAUCUAAACAAACCCAACCAAAUGAAAACAACUAAACAAGCAUACAUCAAUAAAAAAAAAUCAAGGGAAAAUGUCCAAGAAAAUCAUUUAUAAACUAAAAAGGAUGUAGAUGAGGACCAAGCAUGGAGAGAUUGAUGGAGAAAUGCGAAAGCAACAACAACAACUAAUAAUUCUUCACGAAAAGUGAAUUAUUUAGAAGUGGGAAUAGAGGGACCAAACACAUGUAAUGUAAGAGAAUAUUCUCCCAAUAAAGAAAGCCAAACAUGCAUGACACCAAGCAACCUUUUUCUGCAUGAAUUUUUGUUUUCUUCACUUAAUCUUUGCAAUUGUUGUUGCAUGUGAUACAAUCGUUCACGGAUUUCUUGCCUUUUGGUCUGAGUGCAUAGGCGAAGGAUCAUUGUAUGGAUAAACAUCUCCCAUCACCAAUUUAUCAUAACAAGCUUUUAUUAGAUGAGUAGUUCAUAUUUUGAAAAUUCUACAAGUAUUUAUCAUAAAAGUGUCGCGACGGAAACUAUAUUGCAAAACAGAACAUCUCCAUUACAUGGGUUAUUGACUUUGGAGGGUGAGAAAAUCUCUCACAGUGACUGUCUUUCUAGAAGAAAAAUAUGGACGCUUUAGUGGAGAAUAUUGAUGUACGCACAGCAUACCAUGAAACAUGCUUAAAUAUUUAAAAUACUAUGAAGGCCACAUAAUGGAGUUAGGUUGUGGAUCGUCAAGGACAAUCUGUCACUAUAAUUAGGUGAGAUUUUGUAAGGUUUCAUAUGCUUCGGCUACACGUAAAAUAAAGAUACAACUACAACCAUGUUCAUACAACUAAUUCAAAACAAAAAUAAAACUACAAAAGCAAUGAAAAAGAGAUUUUUGGAUAGGGAUUUUUGUACCAGAUCACUCCCUCAUUCAAGAUACACAUAUAGAGAGAUUCCCGCAUUCAGAUUUUGUAACAACCCAUUUUAGAGGAUCGGAAUGCAGAAUAUCUCCAUACGCGCGUUUUGGGCGCACGAAUAACGUGAUAAGAAAGUUUCUACCAAAAAAAUUUCCCAUGCAAUGUCAUGUGUGAAAAUCUCUCACAGUGACUGUCUUUCUAGAAGAAGAAUAUGGACGCUUUAGUGGAGAAUAUUGAUGUACGCAAAGCAUACCGUGAAACAUGCUUAGAUAUUUCAAAUACUAUGAAGGCCACAUAAUGGGGUUAGGUUGUGGAUCGUCAAGGACAAUCUGUCACUAUAAUUAGGUGCGAUUUUGUAAGGUUUCAUAUGCUUCGGCUACACAUAAAAUAAGGAUACAACUACAACCAUGUUCAUACAACUAAUUCAAAACAAAAAUAAAACUACAAAAGCAAUGAAAAAGAGAUUUUUGGAUAGGGAUUUUUGUACCAGAUCACUCCCUCAUUCAAGAUACACAUAUAGAGAGAUUCCCGCAUUCAGAUUUUGUAACAACCCAUUUUAGAGGAUCGGAAUGCAGGAUAUCUCCAUACGCGCGUUUUGGGCGCACGAAUAACGUGAUAGGGAAGUUUCUACCAAAAAAAAUUCCCAUGCAAUGUCACGUGUGAAAUUGACCUCUAGCAGGCCAGACCAUAAACCUUGGGCUGAUAUGAAUCAUCUUAAGGGCCUAAUUUUCUUACCCACUAAUUGUAUUUACCAAAGGAGAGUGCAACUAAGCCCAUCAUGCAACAAUAAGAAUUUCUUCUUCUUUUUUUUUUCUUCCAAUUUUAUCCAUAUAAGAAAUAAAAAAACAAAAAUAAAAUCAGAGGAGAAGGGUUACAAAAUAAAAAUUGUUAGGUAUCAAGACUCUCAACAUCAAACUUUUGGGCUAAAAGAAUUGUCAUACUUUAAAAAAGGAUAUUUAUCACAAAUAAUCUCUAAAAAUUGACCCAUUUUAAUUAAGAUGAUUUUUAAAAUUAAAAAUUAAUCAUUGUAGUUCCUGAAUAUGAAUGACGCUAAUCAAUGUUGUCAUUCUGUUAAAAUUUUGUCAAAACUUCUAUUAGUGGUUUAUGUGGAACAUAUGCGAGACCUGUGAGUCUAAUUAAAUAGUGCUACAUGGAUAAAUUUUCAAAACUAUAUAAAAAUGAGAAUUAUUAUUGUCACUCUAAAAAUCUUAUUUUGCACUCCAACUUUCCAUAAUUAAGAAGAAAAAUGCACUUGUCAGGAGUGUAGAAUAAGAUUUUUGGAGUGCUAAUAACAGUUCCCAUAAAAAGUAAAAAGAAAUGCGAAGAAGACUUUCUCAUAAUUGGGACUUUCGAUGAAUUCUCUUUCACCUCAUGUUUUUAGAACAAUAUUUUAUAAUGUUGACACAUGCAUUGAUGCUAAAGUUAAACUAUGAAGUAGCAGAGAGUCCAUAAAGAGUUAUACUUUUGAGAGAGUCUCCUAAACAUUUCUAAAAAAAUAAUUUAAAUCAUUAAAAUUUAAUUAAAAUUUUAAUAAAAACGUUAGUGUAAUGUGAGAGAUGAAAAUUCAGUAUGAGGAUAUGGAAGUCUAUCUCUUUACUAAAGAAAUAUUUCACACGGAUGAGAACUAUAAUUUUGCUUAUGGAAUGAACUUAGUUGUGGAAGAAUUUUCUUGAGGUACACUUCAGAGUAAGAUUCUCUUAUCUCUUUUUUUCAUCUCUUUUUCCUUCAUCUCUUCUCACACUCUCCCUUUUAUUUUAUUGUUUCUAUGUAAAAAUCAAUAUAAAAUCUUAAUAUUGCUUAAUCGUAACGUUUAAGUAAGAAUGGAGAAAAAUUGAGAGAGAUGAGGAAGAGAGAAUCCACCUCCCUAAAAUUCAGGCCUUCAUCACAGUACAUUCUUACUUUAUUUGGCAGGUAGCCAGCGUCCGUACUCCAAAUUUGUCCUCAUUUGCUCACGAAAUUAUUUCACUGUAUAUUGUUGCCAAGCAAUAUUUAUGGGAUGAGGGCAUUUGUGUUAACUACAUUGAAAUGUUUGGGAAUUGAAGAAAAAAUCAAGAAGAAAUGAUGAAUAGAAGGAUGAAUACAGAGAUCUAGAGAGAGAGAGUUUAGAGAGAGAAAUAUGAUUUAUAUUGACUUACUGAAUGAAAAUUACACACUGUUUUUAUAAGAGAAAUCCUAACUACUUUAACCAAAUACUAACAAACUUAUUAACUGUAUUGCUAACUGUAUUUCUAAUUGUAUUACUGACUUGUACCCUUAAUAAUUUGUCACAGCAAUUUGGCCAGCCAAUAUGAAUUCCUUCCAGUGUUAUGCUCACCAUGGAAUACAAAGCUGGCAGCCAACUGUAGCAUGCUAUCAUAGGAUGCAAAGACUUGUUUUCCGAAUGAUACUUGGCCAGAUGAAAUUAACGUCAAAAGGAGGGAUGGCUCGGCGAAAUUAUCUACCGGGUGAUGGCGCAGAAGUGUUUUGGCCAGAUAGAUGGCUUGACGAAAAUGGCCAUUUGCAUCAAGAAAGCCCUUUCAAAUUCACAGCCUUCCAGGUAAGAAAAAAUGUUGAUUGCAUUCACACCCAUCGCAAAUUUUAUUACCACAGAAAUGCGAAAUUCUAAAGAGAUUUUGUGAUUCGAUGCAGGCUAGUUCAAAUUUACUUAAAGGGAGAUGAUAUUUUCUGCCGUGCGUUUAGACGUCUUCAUAUUCAAGCUAACUGGUGAGGAGAAAGCGUCAAUUGCAGGACGAUGGUCACCCUCCAUGUUGAUGGGGAUUGGGGUAUGUUAACUUAUACAAUUUAUGUACAUUUUACUUAUGGUAUCAUCAAUGGCAUAACCAAAUGUUUUCCUUCUUUUCUUCUUUACAUGCCUUCCAAGAAUGUGCCCCAUUCAAGUCUCGUCUUUAGGAGAAAAACUUAGGGUAGAGACACUCCGACCUAAUCAUCCUGUAUUUUGGUUAGGGUCACAAAAACAAAGAACUCUCUUGUAUUUUCCCCUAGUAAACGAGUCCUACCAAAGUUUUCUUGAUUAUAUGUCUAAUAAAGUAAUCAUCACUGAACUCACAUUUGGUAUUGGAACUUGAAGGUAGUGUGUCUCCAUCAAUAAUGUCCUCCAAAAUGGAAAAUACUGGCUCCUUUUUUUGAAAAUAUUCAGUCCUAGCUACUUACUAAUCACAGCUGGAGAGCUGCGCACAAGCUUUUCUUUAUAUGUUUUUAACAUAAUAUUUUUGCAUGUAUCAAACUGUGAUUUCUUCGUAUGUAGCGUUGAAGAAUCAAAAUGAACUUUAAGAAGCCGAUCACGGUUGCAAAUUAAAACAUGCCUUAAUUUUGUCUUGGUCUACAGAAAACGCAGAGCAUGGGCAGCUGGCUAUAAAAAAACAGAGCCCUUUUUAUUGCCUUUAUCUGGUACAACAGAGAAUAACGUAUUCCAAACAAAAUCAAUUGAUUCAGAAAAGGCAUAAAAAAAUAUUAAGAGAAAUUCUAAGAGCCCACAAUUUUAUUUUUUUAUUACCCUAUUUUUUGUUGAGAUGGAUGCCCAAUUGGGUGCCAAAAGGGAUCAAAAUACAGGCCAAUGGAAGAAAUUAAAGGCAGCCCCCUUGAAUCUCCAAUUUUUAUUCUUACAAUUUUGCCAUGUACAACUCCCCCUUCAAGUCUGUGAAGCCUC